rnacentral:rRNA from 1 species
GGGGGUAGGGGCUGCUCCUGAUUAGCGGCGGACGGGUGAGUAAUGCCUAGGAAUCUGCCUAUUAGUGGGGGACAACGUUUCGAAAGGAACGCUAAUACCGCAUACGUCCUACGGGAGAAAGCAGGGGACCUUCGGGCCUUGCGCUAAUAGAUGAGCCUAGGUCGGAUUAGCUAGUUGGUGGGGUAAAGGCUCACCAAGGCGACGAUCCGUAACUGGUCUGAGAGGAUGAUCAGUCACACUGGAACUGAGACACGGUCCAGACUCCUACGGGAGGCAGCAGUGGGGAAUAUUGGACAAUGGGCGAAAGCCUGAUCCAGCCAUGCCGCGUGUGUGAAGAAGGUCUUCGGAUUGUAAAGCACUUUAAGUUGGGAGGAAGGGUUGUAGAUUAAUACUCUGCAAUUUUGACGUUACCGACAGAAUAAGCACCGGCUAACUCUGUGCCAGCAGCCGCGGUAAUACAGAGGGUGCAAGCGUUAAUCGGAAUUACUGGGCGUAAAGCGCGCGUAGGUGGUUUGUUAAGUUGGAUGUGAAAGCCCCGGGCUCAACCUGGGAACUGCAUCCAAAACUGGCAAGCUAGAGUACGGUAGAGGGUGGUGGAAUUUCCUGUGUAGCGGUGAAAUGCGUAGAUAUAGGAAGGAACACCAGUGGCGAAGGCGACCACCUGGACUGAUACUGACACUGAGGUGCGAAAGCGUGGGGAGCAAACAGGAUUAGAUACCCUGGUAGUCCACGCCGUAAACGAUGUCAACUAGCCGUUGGAAUCCUUGAGAUUUUAGUGGCGCAGCUAACGCAUUAAGUUGACCGCCUGGGGAGUACGGCCGCAAGGUUAAAACUCAAAUGAAUUGACGGGGGCCCGCACAAGCGGUGGAGCAUGUGGUUUAAUUCGAAGCAACGCAAAGAACCUUACCUGGCCUUGACAUGCUGAGAACUUUCCAGAGAUGGAUUGGUGCCUUCGGGAACUCAGACACAGGUGCUCCAUGCCUGUCGUCAGCUCGUGUCCUGGAGAUGUUGGGGUUAAGUCCC